AAAAAGGGAAUGAAGUUCUCCCGUAGCGAAUGCUAAAACCGCGAUAAAAGCUGAUGACUUCUGCAAU
rnacentral:ncRNA from 1 species